AAAAUCUGCCAUCCGGUUUAAGAGGAGUUGCGUUCACAAAAUUUCUACAUAGUAUAUAGUGAAAAAAUCAACAAAGGGCCAUAAUUCUGUAAAAUUUGGUCGCAGCAAAAAUUCCUUCCUUUACUACCAUCUACACCUUAAGGUUGUUCAUCCCUGGAAGUUUAUGCAAAAUCUGCCAUCCGGUUUAAAAGAAGUUGCGUUCACAAAAUUUCUAUAUAGUAUAUAGUGAAAAAUCAACAAAGGGCCAUAAUUCUGUUAAAUUUGGUCGCAGCGAAAAUUCCUUCCUUUACUACCAUCUACACAUUAAGGUUGUUCAUUCCUGGAAGUUUAAGCAAAAUCUGCCAUCUGGUUUAAGAAGAGUUGCAUUCACAAAAUUUCUACAUAGUAUAUAGUGAAAAAAUCAACAAAGGGCCAUAAUUCUGUAAAAUUUGGUCGCAGCGAAAAUUCCUUCCUUUACUACCAUCUACACCUUAAGGUUGUUCAUCCCUGUAAGUUUAAGCAAAAUCUGCCAUCCGGUUUAAGAGGAGUUGCGUUCACAAAAUUUCUACAUAGUAUAUAGUGAAAAAAUCAACAAAGGGCCAUGAUUCUGUAAAAUUUGGUCGCAGCAAAAAUUCCUUCCUUUACUACCAUCUUCACCUUAAGGUUGUUCAUCCCUGUAAGUUUAAGCAAAAUCUGCCAUCCGGUUUAAGAGGAGUUGCGUUCACAAAAUUUCUACAUAGUAUAUAUAGUGAAAAAAUCAACAAAGGGCCAUAAUUCUGUUAAAUUUGGUCGCAGCGAAAAUUCCUUCCUUUACUACCAUCUACACAUUAAGGUUGUUCAUCCCUGUAAGUUUAAGCAAAAUCUGCCAUCCGGUUUAAGAGGAGUUGCGUUCACAAGAUUUCGGGACGUACGGACGGACUGACGGACGGACGGACAAGUGCAACGCUAUAUGCUCCCACAUUGUGGGGGCAUAAA